rnacentral:rRNA from 1 species
GAUGAACGCUAGCUACAGGCUUAACACAUGCAAGUCGAGGGGUAGCGAGAGGAAAGCUUGCUUUCCUUGUCGACGACCGGCGCACGGGUGAGUAACGCGUAUCCAACCUGCCCCCAACUAGGGAAUAACCUGGCGAAAGUAAGACUAAUACCCUAUAAUUUCCUCAGAUGUCAUCUGACGAGGAAUAAAGAUUUAUCGGUUGUGGAUGGGGAUGCGUCUGAUUAGCUUGUUGGCGUGGUAACGGCCCAACAAGGCAACGGUCAGUAGGGGUUCUGAGAGGAAGGUCCCCCACAUUGGAACUGAGACACGGUCCAAACUCCUACGGGAGGCAGCAGUGAGGAAUAUUGGUCAAUGGGCGGAAGCCUGAACCAGCCAAGUAGCGUGCAGGAUGACGGCCCUAUGGGUUGUAAACUGCUUUUAUACAGGAAUAAAGUUAGCCACGUGUGGUUAUUUGUAGGUACUGUAUGAAUAAGGACCGGCUAAUUCCGUGCCAGCAGCCGCAGUAA